rnacentral:rRNA from 1 species
CCCUUAGAUGUUCUGGGCCGCACACGCGCUACACUGGCAGGUUCAUCGAGCUUCAUGCCCUGAUCUGAGAAGAACGGGAAAUCUUUGAACACCUGCCGUGCUUGGGAUAGAUGUUUGCAAUUAUUCAUCUUCAACGAGAAUUGCCUUGUAAGCGCACGUCAUCAGCGUGCAUUGAAUACGACCCUGUAUUCUGUACACACCGCCCGUCGCUCCUACCGAUUGAAGUUUUCGGUGAAUUUACUGGAGAUCCCUUUUGAAGGUGGUUCGCCACUGGAAGAAGUAUUCAAAAGUAAAUGAAUCGAAUGCUUUAGAGGAAGGAGAAGUCGUAACA